rnacentral:rRNA from 1 species
UUAGAUAUUACACAGAACAACCGAAUGCGUAGGCAGCUUACGUAAACUGUAACUGACGCUGAGGCACGAAAGCUUGGGGAGCGAACAGGAUUAGAUACCCUGGUAGUCCACGCUGUAAACUAUGAUCACUCGCUGUUGGCGAUACAUUGUCAGCGGCUGAGCGAAAGCAUUAAGUGAUCCACCUGGGGAGUACGGCCGCAAGGUUGAAACUCAAAGGAAUUGACGGGGGCCCGCACAAGCGGUGGAACAUGUGGUUUAAUUCGAUGAUACGCGAGGAACCUUACCUGGGCUUAAAUGCAGAACGACGUACCGGGAAACUGGUACUCCCUUCGGGGCGGACUGCAAGGUGCUGCAUGGUUGUCGUCAGCUCGUGCCGUGAGGUGUCGGGUUAAGUCCCAUAACGAGCGCAACCCUCAUUGUUAGUUGCCAGCGAGUAAUGUCGGGGACUCUAACGAAACUGCCGGUCUCAACCGUGAGGAAGGUGGGGAUGACGUCAAAUCAGCACGGCCCUUAUGUCCAGGGCUACACACGUGUUACAAUGGCCAGUACAAAGGGCAGCUACCACGCGAGUGGAUGCUAAUCUCUAAAGCUGGUCUCAGUUCGGAUUGAAGUCUGCAACUCGACUUCAUGAAGCUGGAAUCGCUAGUAAUCGCGCAUCACCCAUGGCGCGGUGAUACGUUCCCGGGCAUUGUACACACCGCCCGUCAAGCCAUGGAAGCUUGGGGUACAUGAAGUCCGUAAGCCGAAAGGAUCG